rnacentral:tRNA from 1 species
UCCCCGGUAGCUCAGAGGGUAAAGCGUCUGCCUGCAAUGCAGGAGACCCGGCUUUGAUCCCUGGGUCGGGAA